rnacentral:rRNA from 1 species
UACGAAGGGGGCUAGCGUUGCUCGGAAUCACUGGGCGUAAAGGGUGCGUAGGCGGGUCUUUAAGUCAGGGGUGAAAUCCUGGAGCUCAACUCCAGAACUGCCUUUGAUACUGAAGAUCUUGAGUUCGGGAGAGGUGAGUGGAACUGCGAGUGUAGAGGUGAAAUUCCGUAGAUAUUCGCAAGAACACCAGUGGCGAAGGCGGCUCACUGGCCCGAUACUGACGCUG